GACUGGGGAUGAAACUGGACUCAUUGAGAGCAGCAGCAGCAGCAGCAGCGCUGACACUCCACAAGGGCCCGAUGUUAACGCAGAGAGAGAGAGAGAGAGAGAGAGAGAGAGAGAGAGAGAGAGAGAGAGAGAGAGAAAAUAAAUAAAAAAAACAUCUGGAGAAAUUCAUUAGGAGCUGAAGUUGAGGACAUUUCCCUCCAGAGUCCGGCUCUGCUUCUGAAACAGAUCAGCCACCAGCAUCGUGUCGGGCUGCAGCGUUGACAGUGUGAGAGAGGAGGUGUGUUUCUGUCUUUGGUUAUCUAGCUGUAUGAGUGUUAAAUACCUGUCAUAAAGCUAGAUAACCGAAAGUAGAAAUUACUUCCGUAACGCUGUGUUCAUUCCUGGAAAAAAAAGAAAAAGAAAAAAAGAAGAGUGAAGGAUUUGGACUUUCACCUAAAAAAAAGGCUUCCGAUAAUCAACGGCGAAUGAUCAGGGAUUCCUGAAAAGAGGGUAGAACCAUAAUUAAAAGAAAACGAGGAGAGAAAAAACGGUCAGUGCGGAAUUGCCACCUCACCCAUCCCCCCACUCCUCACCCUUUUUACCCAAGAGCCUCUAAUGCCAUCUGUACUGUCAAUGGGGGAACACUGUGCCCGUGCCAGGAGGCGGACAAAGACCCUGCCGGAUCCUUGGAGUAUGGGUGCGCUCAGAGGAGCCAUCUUGGGAGAUGUUGCCGCGACACCUAAAAUGGCUGGGCUGGCAUACGAGGAUGAGGAUCUGCAAGCCCUUCUGCACUAGGAACCUUCUUUGGCACGAAGAGAUUGUGGACCAAACUCAACCAAAUGUUGCCAUCCGAGCCCAGAGCAUGACGUUUGGCAGCCAAACACUGCAAGAAGAGUGUGAUGUUAAAGAACUGUGUGGAAAGAGAUAUUCUGUAAAUCUGAAAUGUAUUAAUCAAAAUGUGUGAUAUAUGUUAUCCAUGAAAAGUUUAUUAAGAUAAUGUAUUAGUGAAAAAGACAUGUUUAUCCAUAUCUAUUAUUUAAAAAAGAUCGUAAAUAAAACAGAAUUACAUGUUCAAACAUACUUCUCACUCAAUAUAUUAUGAUAUUGUGCUUUUUUAUAUCUAAUGCAUGUUUUAAUUAAAUCAUGUAUUAAUUCAUUGUUCUCAUAUGUCUAAAUUGAAAUGAUAAUUAAGAGAAUAAUAAUACACUACUGAUAAAGUUUAUUGUUUUAAGUUGACUGCUGUCAGUCAAACUUUUUGAAAUAAAAAAUACAAAUGCUA